rnacentral:rRNA from 1 species
UACGUAGGGUGCGAGCGUUGUCCGGAAUUAUUGGGCGUAAAGAGCUCGUAGGCGGUGUGUCACGUCGGCCGUGAAAACCUGGGGCUUAACUCUGGGCGUGCGGUCGAUACGGGCAUCACUAGAGUUCGGCAGGGGAGACUGGAAUUCCUGGUGUAGCGGUGAAAUGCGCAGAUAUCAGGAGGAACACCGGUGGCGAAGGCGGGUCUCUGGGCCGAUACUGACGCUGAGGUGCGAAAGCUAGGGUAGCAAACGGG